UACGUAGGGGGCAAGCGUUGUCCGGAAUUACUGGGCGUAAAGCGCGUGUAGGCGGGAGAGCAAGUCCGGUGGGAAAGCCCGCGGCUCAACCGCGGAAGGUCGCUGGAAACUGCUUUUCUUGAGGGUGAUAGAGGGAAGUGGAAUUGCUGGUGUAGCGGUGAAAUGCGUAGAUAUCAGCAGGAACACCCGUGGCGAAGGCGGCUUCCUGGAUCACCCCUGACACUGAGACGCGAAAGCGUGGGGAGCGAACGGG
rnacentral:rRNA from 1 species